UUCAAGUUCAGAAACUCUCUCUCCCUCUCGACGCUCUCUAUGGAAUUACCUUUUUCCUUCACGGCAUCAAAGUUAUCUCUCUUUGGGAAGUUUCCUUUCUUUCUUCGGCGCUUCCUUUUAGUGACGGAUCUAUUCUCGCUGUUCUUUACUCUGAAAAAGAAUAACAAUUUUCUGCUGAUUUGUCUGAUAUGGUACAUUUUAUGGCAUGGCUCUUUUCUGUAUAGGUUGAAAACGGUAAAUUGUGGAGUUCCUUGCUUCCUAUUUGUACAACAAAACUCAUGCAUGCCCUUCUUUGAUUGAGGAUUUCUUUUUCAAAUUCCUAAAUUCUCAAUUUCAGUUCUAUGUUAUAUAUGCUGUGUGAUUUGUUUUUGUUCAGUUCUGGUGAAUCUGUUGAUGGGUCUGUGACGGUGGUUUUUGGGGAAUGUUGAAGUGGACUAUACAGCUGUGUUGUUUGAUGAUAUGUCUGAAAGAGGUGAAUCUAGAUUUUUUAACCAUGGUCACUGUCAAUUAGAUCGCGCCUAGCACUGCACUUGAGGAAAAAUCACUUAGAUUGCCUGCAGAAUCUGUUCAUGCAUAUGACUGCUAAGUGGAGCGUAACCAGAGGAGUUCUUUGAGUUCCUUUCAAAGAAGAAGCCAACAGUACCCCUAUCUAUUGUAAGAGGAGAAACUUUUUAGGACCAAUAGUACCAAUAUAUGAUAGAUUUCACUAUAUCAUGAGCCAAGAAUUGAACGGCAAACUAACCUAUAUUGCAUAACUAAAACUGCCACAAACUACAAGGGUAGCAGCAAGCUGGUUCAUCAACCAAAGCUGUGAUGUUCUCUCUAUACAAGUCCAAUGAAGGCAGCAGUUCGAUUGCAAGCUCGUGAUAGUUUUGCGCCCUCCAAGUUUGUUUUUCCAAUAAUAUUACCUCAAAAGCCUUCGCCAGCUAUUUGUACGACUCUGAAGUUCCUUUUCCUCAUUGCAGGAGACUAGGUUUUCUUAUGACACCAUUGAUUCCCACCUGUAGGCUGUAGCGCAUCUAUGCCACAUAUGUUCUUUGAAGUAGCAGAUAGCGCCAUGAUCACUGACCAACUAUGGUUGUAGAAUUUAGCCACCCUCGCUGCUGUGAUCUGGCAUUUGCUAAUAAUCAACUCAGCAAGAAAGUGAGGACAUAGAGCUGAUAUUUGCUUCGUCUUCUCUACAUGUUUUUGCCUUUCCUUUCUUCAGAAUUCGAUAGACGAUAGUACUUCUUUCAUUAAAGAUUUGUAGUUACCGUCAGGUGGUGACCUUUACCAAUAGCGUCUCCUACCCUCUUGAUAAUGUAUUGAUGAUGAUUUGGCAUCAGUAGAGACAAAAUUUACAAUUGAGUUCUUAUAAAAAAUUGUAUAUCUAACUUUAUGCUUAUCACAUGGUUAUUGCACUAAUCUGGUAGACAGGUAUAAAUUUGAUUUGCUUACAAAAUAUUGUUUGGUAUAUAAAGGUAAAUUUAUUGAGAACAAAGGUAGUAUUGGAGCUCUAUCUAGAAGCUAAAAUCAUCACAGCUUUAGAGGACUGAAUGUUAAUGUUAAGCAUUUGAUAAAAGUCAAAACUUUUGGUGACAUGCGGUUGAAUAUUUUUUAAUGUCGUCCAACAGCCAUCUUUGACUUAUAUAUUAAGGAUUUGCAAUAUUGUUUCCAAAUUUAUUCAGACAUGAAGUUCUUUCUUGGUUAUUGUUUUCAUGGUGCGUAAACGUUAAUUGUUUUUAAAUGACUGUAAAUUGUUUUUUAAUUUUCAAUUUCAUAAAUUUAUUUAUUUAUAAAAAGAAUUCCUAAAUAUUAUGAAUCACAAUUGGUAGGAAGAAUAGAACGACUAGGAAAUUUCACAUAAUUUCUGAACUUCUACUUUCAAUUUUUCUUUUAUCAAGUUUUCUUUUAUCAAGAGGAAUAAAAGAUAUCCAGAAUUUGCGCUGAAUGAAUAUUACAAUUCGAAUUGUCUGGCCAUCUUUUAUCAAGAGGAAUAAAAGAUAUCCAGAUAUCCAGAAUUUGCGCUGAAUGAAUAUUACAAUUCGAAUUGUCUGGCCAUCUUUUAUCAAGAGGAAUAAAAGAUAUCCAGAUAUCCAGAAUUUGCGCUGAAUGAAUAUUACAAUUCGAAUUGUCUGGCCAUCUUUUAUCAAGAGGAAUAAAAGAUAUCCAGAUAUCCAGAAUUUGCGCUGAAUGAAUAUUACAAUUCGAAUUGUCUGGCCAUCUUUUAUCAAGAGGAAUAAAAGAUAUCCAGAUAUCCAGAAUUUGCGCUGAAUGAAUAUUACAAUUCGAAUUGUCUGGCCAUCUUUUAUCAAGAGGAAUAAAAGAUAUCCAGAUAUCCAGAAUUUGCGCUGAAUGAAUAUUACAAUUCGAAUUGUCUGGCCAUCUUUUAUCAAGAGGAAUAAAAGAUAUCCAGAUAUCCAGAAUUUGCGCUGAAUGAAUAUUACAAUUCGAAUUGUCUGGCCAUCUUUUAUCAAGAGGAAUAAAAGAUAUCCAGAAUUUGCGGUGAAUGAAUAUUACAAUUCGAAUUGUUGGGCCAGAGCUAAGCUCGGGCAAGGCUCAACUAGUUUACUUAGAUAUAGAAGAUUUGAAAUACAAAAUCUAAAAAACUAAAUCAAAAUCUAAAACUCAAAUCUUUCUAUUGUUGGUUUGGAUCUGUAAUUAAUCCUAAGGAUCCUUAGGAGUGAUAUAUUCUUUUAUGUCCCGUAGUUUGUAAUUUUCCUGAAUCAAGCUAAAUAUCACAACUCGUUCUACCCAUCCUUUAUAUUGUCCUCUUUGUUUCAUGUUGAAAUAGAUCCUUAAUAGUUACUUUCUCUAUCCUAAUUUAUGUAUAAUACUUUCCUUUUAGUCUAUUUCAAAAAGUGUGUCAUACUUCUUUAUUUAGAAAUAAUUUAACUUUAAAUUUCCUGCUUUAUCCUAAAUGAGAUAAUUUAUAGUCACACAAAUAUUUUCUUUCUUUAUUUAUUUUACAACAUGCGUGCAGUGUCUUACUUACAGUAAUAAGCAAACCAAGAAUUUUGUUCAAGCGGGAUCAAUUAGGCAAUGCAACAUUAAUACGAUGAUAUCUACGAUAGGAGUUACCAUGUAUGACAAAGUCAGUUUUGUAUGUUAUUUCUUUUUUUUUUUCAAUAAUGCCCCUGAAGAGUGAAGAAUGUCAUUUUGAGGUGGUAUUAAAUAUGUAAAAUAAAAUAAACGAUGAA